UGCUGGCAUUGUUUUUGUGACAUUUAAUCUCAUCUAAAUCAUCAUGUUUUUGAACAGUGUUGGGUAGCCAGCCACCCAUGUAUGUUGACACAGCCAGCAGCGGGCACCCAUGGCACAUGGGGAUGGACCCAGGAGUGGAGGAUGACCCAAUAGGAUGAACGUUCAGCCCACUCACUGUUGACACCAGUGACACAGUAUUGACCAGAUCUCCUGGAAGUGCCCCCUGACGCAGACCCAAUUGUUGGGUAGCCACCCAUGCACGUUGACACAGCCAGCACCGCGAGCACCCAGGGGCAUGGAACCAGGAAUGGAGGAUGGUCCAAUAGGGUGAGUUGCUGAGCCAAUGUCAGAAACAUGUAGACUAUACCCUACCCUCAUAUGUAAACCUUCGCUAGUCUGUUUCUCCCUUAAUAUUGGUGUCAGAUUCGCACAAAUGCAGUUCUG